rnacentral:rRNA from 1 species
UACGGGGGGGGGCAAGCGUUGUUCGGAAUUACUGGGCGUAAAGGGCUCGUAGGUGGCCAACUAAGUCAGACGUGAAAUCCCUCGGCUUAACCGGGGGAACUGCGUCUGAUACUGGAUGGCUUGAGUUCGGGAGAGGGAUGCAGAAUUCCAGGUGUAGCGGUGAAAUGCGUAGAUAUCUGGAGGAAUACCGGUGGCGAAGGCGGCAUCCUGGACCGGCAUUGACGCUGAGGAGCGAAAGCUAGGGGAGCAAACGGG